GAUGAACGCUGGCGGCGUGCCUAACACAUGCAAGUCGAGCGAUUUACUUCGGUAAAGAGCGGCGGACGGGUGAGUAACGCGUGGGUAACCUGCCUCAUACACAUGGAUAACAUACCGAAAGGUAUGCUAAUACAAGAUGAUAUAAGAGAUUCGCAUGGAUUUCUUAUCAAAGCUUUUGCGGUAUGAGAUGGACCCGCGUCUGAUUAGCUAGUUGGUAAGGUAACGGCUUACCAAGGCGACGAUCAGUAGCCGACCUGAGAGGGUGAUCGGCCACAUUGGAACUGAGACACGGUCCAAACUCCUACGGGAGGCAGCAGUGGGGAAUAUUGCACAAUGGGCGAAAGCCUGAUGCAGCAACGCCGCGUGAGCGAUGAAGGCCUUCGGGUCGUAAAGCUCUGUCCUCAAGGAAGAUAAUGACGGUACUUGAGGAGGAAGCCCCGGCUAACUACGUGCCAGCCGCCGCGGUAAAAC
rnacentral:rRNA from 1 species